rfam:Felis catus isolate Cinnamon breed Abyssinian chromosome B2, whole genome shotgun sequence.
CAUAUGGUUUGUUUACAAACCACAAACAUUAUAUUAAAGUAUGUGU